rnacentral:lncRNA from 1 species
CGCGCCGGAGCUGCCCUGGCGGCGGCGUCCGCGUCCGCGGUACGCGUCUGUGGCUAGAACCGGCGGGACUUCGUUCCCGGUCCUUUGUGCCUUUCGCCAUUCACGAGCCUGACACAGACCCGCCUUGUCGGGCCUCGAGGGUCCUCCCGACCACCCCUGAGGCUCAGAGAGGUGGAGUGCCUUACCGGGAGUCACCCAGCGGAGCUGGCAUGCAGACUCAUCUCCCAGAUGUCCGAGCGGGUAUGCUGGAUGAACCCUCUGCAAAAGGCCCUUUCCUGCACGCCUCUUGCCAUGAGCAGCUCUCCCUGGGCUUGGUGACCCAAGGGUUACGGAGCUAGCUCACACACGCCGGUGUGUACAUUACCCCCGCCGUCUGGGCUAAUGACAAAUCAUGUAUGCAGGAAAGGAAGGCGGACACACUGCCAGAGGUGUGAUAAGAAAGCAGCUUGCAGGAUGUCGCUGUCAGAAAGAGGAAGGCAUGUAGAGAGAAGAAUGCCGCAUGAAGGCAGAGGCAGAGAUCGGAGUGAUGUGUCUACAAGCCGGGGAAUGACCAAGACUGCUGGGACCCCAGAAACCAGGAGAGAGACAGGGAGCAUUCUCCCCAACAGAACCUCCUGCAGGGCCCAGCCCUGUGGAUGUAAGUGGCACGAGAGCAGGACCUUACCUUUCCUGGUCGUCCUUAUGGGGCUGUGCACCUGCGUUGGCAGAAUGAGCAAGAGACUGGAGACCCUGGGAGCAUGGCGGGAGGUGCUGUUGCCCAGGAUGUCACUGGGAACACCCCAUUUCAGAGAGGCUGGCCACUGACACCCCACCCACUCCCUGUGUGUGGUCAACAGAAGAGGAAUAAGCAAUCCGCUUAGACCUGGAGCAAAAUGUUCUCUUUUGAGAUGAGCUUAUGAAGUUGCCCUGUUCUUUCCUGCAUCUGGAGAGUAAUGGAUAUUUCCAGCUGUCACAAGUCUGCUCAGUUUUUCUUCUUCCUGCUAGGUUACCCAGGCCCCAGGAUAUUGGUGGAGGGUAUGGGGCAGCAGCAGGUCUUUCCAGCCGUGCUUCCUGCCUCCUCCAGUUAUGGCCCUGUCCAACCAAGAUAUCCCAUCCCCACUAAUUGUGGGGUCCCGGGGCAAUCACUCGGGGUCCCGGUAGUGGUGGGGUCCAUCACCCAUGAGUCCUGAGAGCAGCAGGAGCAUGCUGGGGGCAGGGAGGGGGGCUAACAUACCAUCUCCCUGGGGAAGGACCACCCGUUUCUCAAUAGCCUUGGUCUCUCAUCUGAUUUCUAUUUCAUUUUAUUUAAAAUACACCUGUUUCCUUCAAGCUGGGCAUGGGUUGAUCUUCUCGAGCUGGGUAAGGGAAGUGACUCUGUAGUACAAAGCCACACCCUGGUCAUUAAUCCCAGAGGAAUGGCAGGCUGCAGGCGUCCUGCAUAGUGUGUCACUGUUGGUCAUCACUGUGAUCCUGUGACAGAAGUCUCGCCUUUCCCAUUUUGUAGAUGAGGUCAGAGAGCUAAGUCAGGUCCCAG